rnacentral:lncRNA from 1 species
GUGAGCGCUCGUGAUAAACAGCCCGGAGCCGAGCCGCCGCGCAGCCGGGCGGGAGGCUGCGUAUCAGAGCUCCUGGCAGGCUCGCAAAAAGCUGUCCCCGGCCCGCCGCCGCUCUAUCAGCCCACGGAGGGAGGGCGGCGGGGGAGGGAGGGAAAAAGUAUUUGCUUCAGCCCUUAAUCACGGAAUUUGAAAUCCCAGCGAGUCGGUGCCAUUUAUUUUCAGAGGCUGUCAAGGCUGGUUUCAGCAUUUAAAAGAAAGGAGGAUAAAACGCAUUUGCAUUUCUCCCCCACUCUCGCUGCGCGCUCGCCGGCGCUCCCCCUCGUUCCCUGCGCAGCUCGCGGGUCGGGCGUUGGCGGGGAGGGGGAGGCCAGAGGCUUUUCAAGGCGCUGGGGGCUCCGGCCGGCCCGGUGGGGGCCUCCCCCCGCCAGAGUCAGGGGUGUCGGGCGAUUCCGGGGUGGGGGCCCGAGUCUGGUCCAGCGGGGCUCUGGGUGGCAGAGGGGGGAAGGUUAAGCGGGGCUGCUGGCUUGGGGAAUUUGGGGCCGUCCGCGGGGCUCUCCUCGGGCUCCAAGCUUUCACCCCAGAAAACAGCCCUGAACCCCAAAUUUGCUCCAGCCCCAGGGGGCCCUACCUGCCCUUCCUGGCUUCCCCAGUGGAAAUCUAAGGUACUGGAGGCUUCCAGGGGAGCCAGGGCACCCCUAGGACAACCCCCUCUCUCUGCAGAUGGGGAAACUGAGGCCUGGAAACAGAGAACGGUGGGACCAAGGUCACAUGAUGGCGGAAGGAGGACAAGGAAGGAGGCUGACUGCGUAUCCAGCACGUGUUCCGUGCCAAGCCUGUGCAGGGGCCAAGGACCGGGGUCUCUGGACAGCGCCGGUUGCUGGGUCCCACGCUGGGCGACAGGGCCUUUGCAAUCAGGCCGACAGGGUUUGAACCCUUGCCGCGGCACUUUCCAGAUGGCCUUGGCCACUGUCCCCUCUCUGACCUUCAGAUGGAGCCCAUGGCACCUCCGGAGGGGGUGUGUGCUUCCAGGACCAAAUCCACUUGUGCGUGGUUAGGCACGAGGUGGGGGGAGGCGGCUCAGCCACCGGGACCUGUCCUGCCUCCACCCUCUGUGCAACCCCUUUCCUUGCCUUUUGUCUCUGUUGCUUUUGGGGGGUGAUUAGCCGCUAGCUCAGCGGCUAGAGGAUUCUCUCCCGGAAAAGGCUCCGGAGUUGAGGCCCAGACCCCCAGGGCAAGACGGAAUCUGCUCCCCAGGGCACUAACUGAGACUCGGUUCCCUCACUGGUAAAAUGAGAAAACUCACUUAUGGUCAGGGGUCCCCGAGUUAAUGCCAGUGAAUUCCUUGGCAGAGCAUCAAGCACUUGGAGAAGCCCCCACCCCCGGUCAUUGUGAUGAUGGUUUGUUUGUUUGUUUGUUUGUUUUGAGACGGAGUCUCGCUCUGUCGCCCAGGCUGGAGUGCAGUGGCGCGAUCUCGGCUCACUGCAAGCUCUGCCUCCCGGGUUCACGCCAUUCAGGUGAUGAUGUUUUUUAUUUAUGUGCCCACCUGCCCCACUCCGUAGGGCCCCUCGAGGCCAGGACUGCACCGUUCAUCUCGGAAUUCGCUUGUUCCUAACUUAGGGGAGUGGCGCCGAGACACCGUGUAGCGCCCAUGCCAAGGAGGAAGCGAGACAGCAGGAGCGGAGGAAAGAACCCCGGGCUGUGUUGAGGAAGCCUCCUACUUUUGCCUGAAGUGAGCCACCCAGGACUUUGUGACCACAGCCCUAGCAAACGAAUACGCCGCAUUUCACAGGGCCCUACAGACAGGAGAUGGGAUCUAAGGGAAUUAACCUACUUGCAAGCAGAAAUGAAAGGGAAAGAGAAAAUCCAGAAAUGUUGGAUUUGCAGGAUUGAAAAAGGCAACUAUUCCUCAUCUCGGUCCAAUGAAAGAGCAACUAAGUGAGUGCUCCAGGCGCCCAGUGCCCAAAGGUCCAUAGUCCGUGGGAGGAUCCAGACACUGUCACGUGCAGGAG